AAAUUGAAGAGUUUGAUCAUGGCUCAGAUUGAACGCUGGCGGCAGGCCUAACACAUGCAAGUCGAACGGUAACAGGAAGCAGCUUGCUGCUUCGCUGACGAGUGGCGGACGGGUGAGUAAUGUCUGGGAAGCUGCCUGAUGGAGGGGGAUAACUACUGGAAACGGUGGCUAAUACCGCAUAACGUCGCAAGACCAAAGAGGGGGACCUUCGGGCCUCUUGCCAUCAGAUGUGCCCAGAUGGGAUUAGCUAGUUGGUGAGGUAACGGCUCACCAAGGCGACGAUCCCUAGCUGGUCUGAGAGGAUGACCAGCCACACUGGAACUGAGACACGGUCCAGACUCCUACGGGAGGCAGCAGUGGGGAAUAUUGCACAAUGGGCGCAAGCCUGAUGCAGCCAUGCCGCGUGUAUGAAGAAGGCCUUAGGGUUGUAAAGUACUUUCAGCGGGGAGGAAGGUGUUGUGGUUAAUAACC
rnacentral:rRNA from 2 species